AGAGUGAGAAGUCUGCUUCUUGAUGUGCGUUUCUUGUAACUGAACAGAGAAGGAGAAACCAAUGGCGGGUUCGACGUCUGUGCAGCCUCAGUUCAUUGUCAGCACUGGGAAUCGGAGCUUUUCCAAUGCACCCCUCAUUGACAAUUCAGAUACUGAUCAAAUUGUCGUUCCCGACAAGAAAAGCUGGAAAAACCUUUUUGCAUAUAUGGGUCCAGGGUUCCUUGUUUCUAUUGCAUAUAUCGACCCUGGAAAUUUUGAAACUGACCUGCAGUCAGGAGCGGAAUACAAGUAUGAGUUACUUUGGAUCAUAUUAGUGGCCUCAUGUGCUGCUCUUAUCAUACAAUCUCUAGCAGCCAAUUUGGGGGUUGUCACUGGAAAGCAUUUAGCAGAACACUGUAGGAUUGAAUAUCCUAGGGUGCCAAACUUCAUCCUUUGGAUUCUUGCUGAAAUUGCUAUUGUUGCAUGUGAUAUUCCUGAAGUAAUUGGUACAGCCUUUGCAUUGAACAUGCUCUUCAAAAUUCCUGUGUGGAUUGGUGUUCUUCUGACUGGGCUUAGUACGUUGGUUCUUCUAGCUCUCCAGCAGUAUGGGGUCCGGAAGCUUGAAUUCCUUAUCGCUUUUCUUGUUUCUACAAUCACUACAUGCUUUUUUGUGGAGCUUGCCUAUGCAAAACCCUCUGCUUCUGAAGUUCUCUAUGGGCUUUUUGUUCCACAACUCAAGGGACAUGGUGCUGCUGGCCUUGCAAUUUCACUUCUUGGUGCCAUGGUUAUGCCACACAAUCUCUUCCUCCAUUCAGCAUUGGUGCUUUCUAGGAAAGUCCCACGAUCCAUUCCUGGUAUCAAGGAGGCUUGUAGAUUUUACUUGAUAGAAAGUGCCUUUGCCCUCACACUGGCCUUUUUCAUUAAUGUAUCCGUUAUUUCUGUAAGUGGUGCUGUUUGCAAUUCCUCAAAUUUAAAUCCAGAAGAUCAGUCAAACUGCAAGGACCUGGACUUGAACAAGGCUUCUUUUUUGCUUAAAAAUGUUUUGGGUAGAUGGAGUUCAAAACUUUUUGCAGUUGCUUUGUUGGCAUCAGGUCAGAGUUCUACCAUAACAGGAACUUAUGCAGGGCAGUAUGUCAUGCAGGGUUUCUUGGAUCUACGAUUGGCGCCAUGGAUACGGAACUUUCUAACUCGAUGCUUGGCAAUAGUCCCUAGUUUAAUUGUUGCACUCAUCAGUGGCUCUGCUGGGGCUGGAGAGCUAAUUAUUAUUGCAUCUAUGAUUCUAUCAUUUGAGCUUCCUUUUGCUCUCAUUCCGCUUCUCAAGUUCACUAGUUGCAAAGCCAAGAUGGGGAUACAUGCCAACUCAACUGUGAUUUCAGCUGUCACUUGGAUCAUUGGUUCCCUGAUCAUGUCAAUAAACAUAUACUACCUUUCAACUGGCUUAAUCAACAUUCUUCUUCAUGGCCAUUUAAAAGUGGUAGCCAUUGUUUUUCUUGGAAUAUUCGGAUUUUUGGCUUUCGCAUUGUAUUUGGCUGCAAUUGCAUAUUUGGUGUUUCGUAAAAACAAGGUAGGUACUCAUCUUUUGGCACUAACUGCACCUGAAAGUCAACAGAUGGCUAACGAGUCUCGUGAUACAUCAAUGCAUAAUCUCCCUAGAGAAGACAUAGUAAACAUGCAGUUACCUCAAAGAAGGUCUACAGAAGAAGUCGAUUGAUAAAUGAUAGGGUAAGAGUCUACAGAAGAUGUCCACUGAUAAGUGGUAGUGUAAUUGAUAUCCUAGGAUGGCAGUCUGUGAAUCUGCAGUGACAGAAAUAACAUUUGGAAUAGAGUUUAAUAAGUUCUGAAACAAAAGACUAAGGUUGGCUUUAUCUGAUGCUUUUGUGAAGCAGUACACUUUCAGAUCAUCAUAUUCAUAUUAUUAGAAAGUGGCAUUGGGCACAUACAAUCCAUUUAUGGUGUGGCAAUAGCUGAAAUAUUUUAACUCUGUAGAUGUUUCCUCAAGAUUCAUAACAAUCUUAACAAGAAUUCCAAUUAACCAUUUUUAGAUUCACAAA